GACUGGCAAAGUUGGUUCUGAUUGCAGUUUCUAAACUACCAAAAGCCCAAGGCAGAGUGUCCUCAAAUGAAGGUUCCUGACAAGAAAGCUGCCCCCUCCAAACCACUGACUUGGAAAAGUGGGGAAACUGAGGUCGCGGGUGUUGACACUAGCCGGAUCUGGGAAAGGAAUAAUUAAGCGUUGAGGAAUGUCCAGGUGGGAGCGCCAGCGGGGAGAGGCUGAGACCUAGCAGGCCACAGUGACCCAUGCCAAAGGGCUCUGCACACCUGACCCUAGCCCUCACCGCUCUCAGGAGGGCGCUUACAGUGCGUCUCGUGCUCCAAGCAGCGACAGGGUUAAGCUUCCUCACGGUACUUGCCGCAUGCACGGUCACCAUGGCAACCGCGGAGGAGGUCACGGUAGCUGGGCCCCCGCGCGUCACCCCGCGCCUCGCCGGCUGCAGGCGCCGGGAUUGCGGCCUCCCAGGCGCCGUGGCCCGCGUGGACUCAGCUCCGAGCUCUCCGCCCCCGCUCCGCCCUGCCUACAGCUCAGGCCCCUCCACAGGGCUCUGCCGCGUCCCAACCGGGAAUGUCGCACCUGGGCGCCAGUGCGCUCAGCUAUGCUGUCCCCUCCCACCCCCCCGCCGCCCACUCCCCGCUUUGGCACGCGGGACUGCGCCAUGUAACACGUGCCUAUAACCAAGCUAGGGAACAUGUGCCGCUCUUGCCGAGGGGCUCUCCGCACUUAACGGAUGCCCUGGGGAAUCGACCUAUAUUUGGUCCACAACUCCACAGGCCCUGCCAAGAAGAGACCUCCUGUAACUAAAAAGGCCAGUUCUGGAGUCAGAGCCUAGGCCUGCCUAUCUGACUUAGGGUCCCAGCCUUUCUGUGCCUCUGCUUGCUCAUCAGCAAAAUGGUCCUGUAAGGUUUAAGUACUUUCGAAGUACGUUUAAUUGCUUAACACAGUGUUUGCCAAGUGGUCCCGAAAAA
rnacentral:lncRNA from 1 species